CUUUAAUUACUUCCAGGGUGAACACAGCAAACAGAAGUAACUCUAGGAUUCCCUCCCACUCUAUGCCACAUACAGGUAAACAGCUUUGAAGUGUUAUGUUUGUCCCAUGGCUACUUUUCUGUGCUCAUUUUUCAAAUAAAACAACAGCUGUAGAGAGUUAAAGAAACAGUAUGAAUUUUAAAAAAAUCUAUAUUUUAUGUGCCUGCCUAAAUGUUGUCUUCUUCCAAUGCAGGCUGCUUGACGUAUAUCAGGACAAUUCAAUCAGUGCUGUCAGUGUACAAUUAUGAGGACAUCUUUGUUUGGAAUGGGGUGGCAGGCUUAUGGUGCUGCAUUCUUCAAAAAAGAUUUUAGCUUGCAAAAUUAUUCUGCAUAAUGAUAAAUCCAAAGUCUGCAUUUCGGCAUGUAUCCCAACUGUCCUGCAUUUGGCAGGAGACAGUCCCGAUUUUAGGAUGGUGUCCCACCUGCCUGCUUUAGUUUCUUGCAUCCCAAAUCUGUGGACACCAGGGAACUGUCACAGGGCAGCACAACUCGAGCGCACUAGGACCAUGAAGGGAGCGCAUCAGCAGCACAUCCACAGUUCUCCGUGCAUAAUUCCGAAGACGUGGGGCCGCCCAGGCUUCCUGUCAGGUGGUGGGCCCACCCUUUUUCCAGGGUGACAUGCCCAAUUUUGGACAAGACCUCACCUUCCCAUGGCAGCCACGCCCAUUGUGGGCAUAAAUAAUGAUGUGGUUAACCUCAAUGUUGACUCCCUCCCUAUAAUAAGAAGAACAAGGUUGGAAGGUAUGAUUUAGGUUAUGUUGGUGCCUGGAGUGUCUGUUUAAGGGUGUGAAUGCAUAUAAAAUAAAAACAUUUCAGAUUCUUUUCAAUUUGCCAUAUGUCAACAUAACUAGCAGGUAAAAAAAAAAUUGUCUAAAGAAUAGCAUAAAAGAGAAACACUGUUUAGUGAAUAGACCCAAAUCUGUUAAGGUAUGUUAUUUAUUAGUUGCACUGACUAAAUGUUUCCAUCAUAAUAGACUAUUCAAGUCAUUUGCUUUCAACAGGUCACAUGACAGCAGAGGUCCUUCUAGAAAGAUCUGUCUGUGAAUAUGCACGUCAACACACCAUAUAUCGUCCCUGAUCUGUCUGUUAUAAUGGAAUUCUUUUUGCAGCACAUGGUUUAUAUCUUCAAAUAUUUUGCCACUUUUUUUAAAAACUAAAUCAUAAAUCA